rnacentral:rRNA from 1 species
AACGUAGGAGACAACCGUUAUCCGGAUUUACUGGGCGUAAAGGGCGUGUAGGCGGGAAUGUAAGUCGGGCGUGAAAGCCCCAGGCUCAACCUGGGAACUGCACUCGAAACUGCGUUUCUUGAGUAUCGGAGAGGAAAGCGGAAUACCUGGUGUAGAGGUGAAAUUCGUAGAUAUCAGGUGGAACACCAGUGGCGAAGGCGGCUUUCUGGACGAUUACUGACGCUGAGACGCGAAAGCGUGGGGAGCAAACAGG